UUGUUUUUGGGGAACAGUCUUCUAAUUUUAUCAAGAAAAUAUUGAACCUCCCCCACUGUACGCAUUCCAGCGAGAGCCCACAUGCAAGAUCAGAAGCUGUUAUCUUGAAAAGCUCUCUCUUUCGAAAUUGCAUGUGCGAGCACCGUUCACAUGUGAGCUUUUCUCUCUUCAAACAUAGCUUACGGCUAGCCCUUCGAGAACCUUCUUAGCUCUCUCAUACACAGCUUUUGGAGGGGUAAAAUAGUUAGGCUAAGUGCAUGCUGCACAGAACAAAAAUUGCAUUCAAGGUUUGAAGACUUAAUUGAUGUGCGUGUAGAAAAUAUACAAAAACAAAAAAAAACGUGGUGAAAAGUUUGCAAAACCAUAAAAGGGAACAUAACCCAAAUAAAAAAACAAUAUAAAAGUGUUGUGGCUGCAAGACGAAACAAAAAAACCAACCCCUGGAUAAGGUACGCCAAGAGAAAAAAAAUGAAAAAGUGACCUUAUUACAUAAUUCCAUGUAUGAACUGUACAUAGGUUUUGAUCCACGUGUGGCAGGAAAUUGCUGACCUGGCCUGACCCUCGGUCUCGGAGGGGGGGUCCGCUCCAGUACCACGAUCAUCCGUCCCUCUUUUUGGUGCCACCGGACCUUGCCUGCAGGCGAAAAAAACGGAUGGACCUGGCGAUCGGGACCGAGUUGUUUAUAUACAUAUAUCUCACGCGCAACUAUAAAACCAUCUUUAUAUAUUAUAUCACCGCGCCUUGUGUAAAGAAUUGUUGGUGCUUGCAUAUGUAGGGUGUGGAAAAAUUAGCUCAGCGGUCAUUGCCCUUGCGGCUGACCAUACACCUAUGCGCACUUAAAUAGACCCACCUGACCGUAUGUCACCUAUUCUCUCCUUCUCUCAGGUUAUUAAAAUUGUUCGAUGCCGACAUUCUAAAAGCCACUUAAGGGAAGAAAAGUAAAUCACAAAAUCUAGAAAAGAAAAUGUAAUGAAAAAUUAUGGAUAGAAAAAAAAAUAGAAAAGAAAAUUGUUCAAUAAUAUUAAAUAUUCCUAGACAUUAACUUAGAAUNUCCAUGUAUGUACUGUACAUAGGUUAUGAUCCACGUGUGGCAGGAAAUUGCUGACCUGGCCUGACCCUCGGUCUCGGAGGGGGGGUCCGCUCCAGUACCACGAUCAUCCGUCCCUCUUUUUGGUGCCACCGGACCUUGCCUGCAGGCGAAAAAAAACGGAUGGACCUGGCGAUCGGGACCGAGUUGUUUAUAUACAUAUAUCUCACGCGCAACUAUAAAACCAUCUUUAUAUAUUAUAUCACCGCGCCUUGUGUAAAGAAUUGUUGGUGCUUGCAUAUGUAGGGUGUGGAAAAAUUAGCUCAGCGGUCAUUGCCCUUGCGGCUGACCAUACACCUAUGCGCACUUAAAUAGACCCACCUGACCGUAUGUCACCUAUUCUCUCCUUCUCUCAGGUUAUUAAAAUUGUUCGAUGCCGACAUUCUAAAAGCCACUUAAGGGAAGAAAAGUGAAUCACAAAAAUCUAGAAAAGAAAACUUAAUGAAAAAUUAUGGAUAGAAGAAAAAAAAAUAGAAAAGAAAAUUGUUCAAUAAUAUUAAAUAUUCCUAGACAUUAACUUAGAAUAGAAGAAGAAAAACAUGAAAUUUAUGCGUAGUUAAUAAUAGAUUCUAAAGGGUGCAUCAUCGGUCUCAUUGUGUCCAUGGAAGGGUAUUGGUAAAAUACCUCUUCAUAACGCUUCUUGUUAUUUUGCAUAUUUCUACAUUUCUUUAACAGUUAGAACGUGAAAUUGGGCCCAACGACACCAACAGCUGUUUAAAAGUCUGUAAGUAGACACACAUAUACACACAUACACUCCGGGUCAGGAGAAUAGCGUCUACACAGUGAGACAUGCAUGCUUAACCAUAUAUAAAAUGAAUUAUUAUUAACUCUAAUCACUACAAUUAUGCCAUUUAAUUCAUUUAAUUAAUUAAUUCUUACU
rnacentral:lncRNA from 1 species